UACAGAGGUCCCAAGCGUUGUUCGGAUUCACUGGGCGUAAAGGGUGCGUAGGUGGCCGGGUAAGUCUGACGUGAAAUCUCCAAGCUCAACUUGGAAACUGCAUCGGAUACUAUCCGGCUCGAGGAUCGGAGGGGAGACUGGAAUGCUUGGUGUAGCAGUGAAAUGCGUAGAUAUCAAGCGGAACACCAGUGGCGAAGGCGAGUCUCUGGACGAUUCCUGACGCUGAGGCACGAAAGCCAGGGGAGCAAAC
rnacentral:rRNA from 1 species